rnacentral:rRNA from 1 species
UACGUAGGGGGCAAGCGUUUGUCCGGAUUUAUUGGGCGUAAAGAGCGUGUAGGCGGUUUGGUAGGUCCGCUGUGAAAACUCGAGGCUCAACCUCGAGACGCCGGUGGAAACCAUCAGACUAGAGUCCGGAAGAGGAGAGUGGAAUUCCUGGUGUAGCGGUGAAAUGCGCAGAUAUCAGGAAGAACACCCGUGGCUAAGGCGGCUCUCUAGUACGGUACUGGACGCUGAGACGGCGAAAGCGUGGGGAGCGAACAGG